UACGGAAGGGGCAAGCGUUGUUCGGAAUCAUUGGGCGUAAAGGGCGCGCAGGUGGUUCUGUAUGUCUACCGUGAAAGCGUACGGCUCAACCGUAUUUUGUCGGUAGAAACUGCAGGACUUGAGGCUGGGAGGGGCUGGUGGAAUUCCCUGUGUAGCGGUGAAAUGCGUAGAGAUGGGGGAGAACACUCGUGGCGAAGGCGGCCAGCUAGACCAGUUCUGACACUGAGGCGCGACAGCGUGGGGAGCAAA
rnacentral:rRNA from 1 species